UAUAUUAAUUUACCCCAGAUGUAUUAUUUAAUGGUAAUUACUAUUAAUAUAAACUGAGCACAAUAAUUCUGUUUUUGGGGUAGAAAGUAUUUUUUAUUUAUUUGUAUUGUUGUUUUUAGAUAUGGAGCAUAUUAAGUUUUACCUCCUAAACAAAAUACAAAUAAUUACAUUUAACUGACCCACAUUUGUGCAUAAAAUCAUUUAAAAACUCAAUUUAAAGUACGAACAUCCUUUUUGUUUUGUUUUGUUUGGUAUUGUAACAUUGCACCACUGUAGGUGGUUUCACACAGACUCAGACAGUAUGUUUUAGCCACUCCGCCACCAGUAGUGUUUCCGCAUACCGUAAUUUGCAUAAACAUGAGUAAUUUAUGAAUAAUAAAUGCCCCAGCAUUCAGCUGGAGCUGAUAAUUUGCAUAUCACUGCAGCCUUAGUGCCGUGUUAUCAUGAAGCCCUUCAAGCCUGCAUAAACUAAAAUCAAAGAAAUAGUGCUUUAACAGGAGCUCGUCUCAGAACCUCCGUCCAAAACUUUGACCACACAGAAACCAGGAUGGGACUCUGAUGGAAGGGGGCCAGAGAGAGCAAAGUCCCUUGAUGUUCAAAAUAAAUCUGACAGGCCCUACUGGGUAAGGCCCCGCAUAAUCUCUCUCACUGACUUCAUGCUGGCGGAUAUUUGUGUGUGCAGUUUGUCUUUUUUUUUUUUUUCACGCCAUUUUCAUUAUUUGCACCACCUUCUUUCAUCUCAGCACUUCUUCUUUUUUUUUUUUUCCCCACGCAGCAGCAUCAGAUAAUUCCAUAAUUUACAGCUAUGCAUUGUUGAAGAUGAAUGAGAGUUGCUUUCUUGCUCAGGAUGCAUUUACCUCCGCGAUAUAAUAAUCUUUUUGUAGGAAUAAUAAUAAAAGAAAUGCCUUCAAAAGAAAUUUAGCAUUUUUAUCAUAUUCUCACUCUAAUGUGCUAAAAGUGAGUGUUAUUUUCAAUCUUUCAUUUAAAAAAAAAAAGUCGGUGAGAGUGCUGCUUUCGUCUAGUUUUCUCCUUUUCAUAUGCUUAAGUGAAAUAUUGCAGCAUUUAGGAAAAGUUUGUGUGUGUUUUGAAUUGAAUUCGCCUCAGGAGGGAAAAACGCAUCAUUUUGGAAGGACUUUUUUUUUUUUUUUUUCAAAACAUCCGCUCUUAAGCAUAUACAGAAAUAACAGGAAUUUCAAGUGUCAGUCACAAACAACUAUUUUAUCUCAUGAGUUCACAUUUUUUUUCUCCCUACAGAGUCGAGCAGAGGAGGCUUCAACUUGAGUUGAGAGUCGCAAGGGAGCCAGUGUCCGGGGGGUCAGUCUUCCCCCCGGGACCCCUGUAAAGAACCCUCUGAUGGGCUGCAGUCAGAGGUCAAAGGUCAUUUGAAGCAACAUGGUAUGAAUAUGUGACCUUGUGACACAGAAAAUGGAUCAAAAGACAAAUGGACUUCCUGAAUGAGAUCAUGAUUGGAUUCCAAAUAUGGGAGAAGUGACCUCAUUUUUAGACAUUUGCUCCAAUGGGAGGCCUUGUUUAUUCAGUCAAAUAUGUUUCUAUAUUUUUUCUUUCUCCUUAUGCAUUCAAAAUCACUAAAGAAAA